rnacentral:tRNA from 1 species
GGGGCGGUAGUUCAAUGGUAGAAUCAAGGUCUCCAAAACCUUUGAUGAGGGUUCGAUUCCUUCCCGCCCUG